AUAUGUUGGAACCAACUGCCGGAAAUGUUGGAAACAACACCCGGACAAUCUGCAACCACCCAUUGGAGACACUAGAAUCAGAUCCUGGACACACCGGAAGCUCCUGCCGGACACUCUGGAACCACCUUCUGGAACCACUGGAAUCACCCACCGGAUACGAAGGAACCACCUUCCAGACACACCAGAACCACUUGUCAGAUUCGGCGGAACCAGGUGCUGGACAUGAUGAAACCACCUGUCGGAUAUGCCAGAACCAGGUGCCAGACACGAGAGACCCACCUGCUGGACAAGCCGGAACCACCUGCCUGACAUGCUGGAACAACCUGCCGGACACGCCGAAAUCACCUGCCUCAUACACUGGAACCAGGUCCUGGAAAAACCUGCCAGACACACCGAAACCACCACCUGCACACUCCGAAACCACCAACCCAAUUCUGGCAGUUCCUGCAGGUGGUUCCAGCGUGUCUGGCAGGUGCUUCUGGUGUGCUGGGACCUGAUUCUGCCAUCUCCGGUGGGUGGUUCCAGAGUGUCCUUGUGGUGGUGUCCAGCAGUUGGUUCCAGAGCGUCAGGCAGGUGGUACAGGCAUUUCUGGGAGGUGCUUUGGGGGUGUCCAGCGAGUGGUCCGGGUGUGUCUGGCAAGUGGUUCCAGCAUGUCCGGCGUGUCCUUCCAGUAUGUCUGGCCUGUAAUUCCUCAUGUCCAGCCAGUGCUUCUGGUGUGUCCAUCACCUGGUUCUGGCAUGUUUGGCAGGUGGUUCCGGCAAGUCCACCAGAUGGUUCUGGCUCAUCCUGAAGGUGGUUAAGGCAUAUCUGGCAGGUGGUUCAAUCAUGUCCAGCAGGUGGUUCAGUCUUGUUCAGCACGUGGUUCAGUCGUGUUCAGCACCUGCUUCUGGCAUGUGAGAAAGCUGUUUCUAGCAUAUCCAGCAGGUGGCUCCAGUGAGUCCGGCAGGUGUUUCAGUUGUGUCCAGCACCAUGUUUCUGUGCGUGCGACACCUGUUUCUGGCAUAUCAGGCAGGUAUUUCUGGCAUGUCCAGCAGGUUUUUCACUCAAGUCUGGCAGUUGGUUCAGGCGUGUCCAGCAGGUGGUUCUGGCAUGUUGGGCACCUGGUUCCAGCAUGCCCAGCAUGUGAUUUGGGAAUGUCUGUAAUGUGGUCCUGGCUGGUCCAGCAGUGGUUCAGACUAGUAUGGCAGCUGCUUCAGGCUUGUCUGGCACCUGGUUCUGGCCUGUCCUGGACCUGUUUCUGGUAUAUCUGGCAGAUGGUGCCGGUGUGUCUAAGAGGUGGUUCCGGUGUGUCUGGCAGAUGGUUUUGGUGUACUCAGCAGGUGAUUUGGAAGUGGCCAGCAGGUGUUUCCUCCAUGUCUGGCAACUGGUUCUGGCGCAUUUGGUAGGUGGUUUCAGUGUAUCCGGCACCUGGUUCCCCCAUAUGCAAAAGUGGGUUCCAGCAUGUCUGGCAGGUGGUUCCAGGGUGUCAGACCAGAGAUUCCACCAUGUUUUGCAGAUGGAUCAGUGCUGUCCAGCAGGUGGAUCAGUCGUUCUGGCAGUGGGUUGCAGCAUAUCUGGCGGUGGUUGUGGCGUGUCCAGAAGGUGGUUCUGGUGAGUCAAGCAGGUGGUUAUGGCAUGUUUGGCAGGUGGUUCAGGCGUGUCUGUCAGCUGGUCCAGGUGCAUCAGGCACAUGGUCCAGGCAUGGCCGUCCCGUGGUCCAGGCAUUUCUGAAACAUGGUUCUGACAUGUCUGAAAGAUGGUUUGGGCGUGUCUGGCAUCUGAUUCAGUCCUCUCCGAGAGGUGCUUUGGGGGUGUCCCACAGGUGGUCCUGGUGUUUCCGGCCAGUGGUUCAGCAUGUCUGGCAGGUCAUUCGAGUAUGUUUGGUCUGGGGUUCCGGUUUGUAUAGCAGGCAGAUCCAGCGUGUCUGGCACCUGGCUCCGGCAUGCUUGGCAGGUGGUUCUGGCAUGUCCACCAGAUGGUUCCAGUGCAUCCUGAAGGUGGUUAUGGCGUGUCCAGCAGGUGGUUCAGGCUUGUCCGUCACUUGGUUCCGUCGUGUCCAGCGCCUGGUUCCAGCAUUUGCAUCACCUGUUUCCGGCAUAUCUGGCAGGUGGUUCCAGCUUGUCCAGCAGGUGGUUCUAGCAUGUCCAGCAUCUGGUUCUGGCAUAUCCAGCAGUUGGUUUCAUGGUGUCCGGCACCUGGUUCCGCCAUAUAUGAGAAGUGGCACCGGCGUGUCUGGCAGGUGUUUCUGGGGUGUCAGGCAGGUGGUUCCAGUGUGUCCGGCCGGUGUUUCAGCAGUGUUUGGCCAGUGGAUCAGUGCUUUCCAGCAGGUGGAUAAGUCAUGUCAGGUAGUUGGUUGCAGCACAUCCGGAGGUGGUUCUGACGUUUCCAAUAUGUGGUUCUGACGUGUCAGUCAGGUGGUUCUAGGUGACUGGAAGGUGGUUCCAUCAUGUCCUGUGGGUGAUUCCACCGGUUCCCGCAGCUGGUUCCAGUGUGUCCAGCAGGUGCUUCUGGUGUGUCCAGGACCUGAUUCUGGCAUCUCCAGUGUGUGGUUCCAGAGUGUCCAGGUGGUGGUUCUGACUUGUGCAACAUUUGCUUCCAACAUGUCAGGCAGGUGGUUGAGGCGUUUCCGGUGGAUGGUUCCAGUAUAUCCGACAGGUAGUUCUGGUUUGUCUGGCAGGUUGUUCAAGCAUGUCUCUCAGCUGGUCCAAAUGCAUCCGGCACAUGGUCCUGGCAUGGCCGUUCCGUGGUCCUGGCAUUUCUGAAACGUUGUUCUGAUGUGUCCAAAAAGUGGUUUGGGCGUGCCCGGCAUCUGAUUCAGGCCUCACUGGGAGGUGGUUUGGUGAUGUCUCAUAGGUGGUCUGUGUGUGUCCAGCAAGUGGUUCCGGCAUGUCCAGCGUGUGCUUCCAGAAUGUCUGGACUUUGAUUCUGGGAAGUUCAGCAGGCGGUUCUGGUGUGUCCAGCACCUGGCUGCAGUGAGUUCGGCAGGUGGAUCUGGCAUGUCCACCACAUGGUUCUGGGGCAUCAUGAAGGUGUUUCCGGCAUGUCUGGCAGUUGGUUCAGUCAUGUCCAGCACCUGGUUCCAGCGUGUGUGACACCUGUUUCUGGUGUAUCUGGCAGGUGGUUCUGGCAUGUCCAUCAGUUGGUGCAUGCAAUCUGGCAGGUAGUUCAGGUGUGUCCAUCCGGUGGUUCUGCCAUGUCGGGCACCUGGUUCCAGCGUGCUCGGCAUGUGGUUCCAGAAUGUCUGUAAAGUGGUUCAGGCUGGUCCAGCAGAUGGUUCAGGCUAGUCCUGCAGCAGCUGCAGGCUUGUCUGGCACCUGGUGUCAGCCUGCGCUGGACCUGUUUCUGGCAUAUCCAGCAGAUGGUUCCGGCGUGUCCGACACAUGAUUUCGCCAUAUGAGACAGGUGAUUUGGACGUGUCCGGCAGGUAUUUCUUCCAUGUCCAGCACCUGGUUCUGGCGUAUUUAGCAGGUGGUUCUGGCCUGUCCGGCAGCUCAUUCAGGUUUGUCUGGCAUGUGAGUCUGGUAUGUGUGGAAGGUGAUUCUGGCAUGUACAUUCGGUUCUUCUGUCAUGUGCGUCAGUUGGUUCUGACAUGUCUGCUGGGUGGUUCUGGUGUGUCUGAGUGGUGCUUCCAGUGUGUCCAGAGGGUGGUUUUGGCAUGUCUGUCGGGUUGUUUCAGCAUAUAAGGGGCCUGUUUCCAGUAUAUCCGGCAGGUGAUUUUGGCGUGUCUGGCAGGUGGCUCAGACAUGUCCAGCAGGUGGUUCAGGUAUGUCUGGAAGGUGGUUUCCGCACGUCCAUAACCUGAUUCUGGCAUAUCUGACAUGUGGUUCCAGCAUGCCCGGCGUGUGGUUCCAGAUUAUCGGUCAAGUGGUUCAGGUGUAUCCAGCAGGUGGUUCAGUCUUGUCUGGCAGGUGACUCAGCCUUGUCUGGCAGGUGAUUCCAGCCUGUCUGCCAGUGGUACUGGUGCGUCAUUCAGGUGGUUCCAGCGUGUCAGGUGGGGGUUUCUGUGUGUCUGGCAUGAGUUUCCGGUAUGUCCGGAAGGUGGUUCCAUGGUGUCCGUAGGGUGAUUCCACCUGUUCCCACAUAUGGUUCCAGAGUGUCUGGCAGGUGGCUCCUGUGUGACUGGCAUGUGGUUCUGGUAUGUUCAGAAGGUGGUUCCAGCCUGUCAGGCACCUGCUUUUGGCAUAUCCGGCAGGUGGUUUCACUGUGUCCAGCACCAGGUUCCACCAUAUCUGACUGGUGGUUCCAGCGUUUCUGGCAGGUAGUUCCAGCAUGUCUAGAAGUUGGUUCCGUGAUGUCCAGAAGGUGGUUCAAGCAUGUCCAGCUGGUGGUUCAGGCAUGUCUGGAACGUGGCUCCAGGGUGUCCAGCAGGUAAUCUGACACUCUGGAGCCACAUGCUGGGCAUGCUGGAACCAAGUGCCCGACACGCUAGUACCACCUUCUAGACAUGCCUGAAUCACCUGCUGGGCACACCUGAACCACCUGCUGGAUAUGCCAGAGACAGUUGUGGCACAUGCUGAAUCCUGGUGCUGGACAUGAUUGAAGACAUGAAGAAAUGGAGCCACCUGCCUGAUACACCAUAAACAGGUGUUGCACACUCUGGAACCGUGUCCUGGACACGACAGAAACAGCAGCUGGACAAGCCUGAACAACCUGCUGGACAUGACUGAACCCCUGUCAGACACACCGUAAGCACCUUUGGGACACGGUGGAACCCUCGGCUGGACAUGCCAGAAUAACCUACCAAACACGCUGGAGCCAGGUGUCAGACAUGCUGGAACUGACUGCUGGACAUGCUGGAACCACAGGCCACACAUACUGGCAGGACACGCCAGACACACCAGAACCUAUUGCCAGAUACACUCAGACCACCUGCCCGACACCACCAAAGCACCUUCUGGAGAGGCCUGAAUCAGGUGCUGGGCAUGCUGAAACCACAUUUUGGACACAUCAGAACCACAUUUCAGAAAUGCCUGAACCAUGGGACAGCCAUGCCUGGACCAUGUAUAAGAUCCACGUGGACCAGCUGACAUACAUGCCUGAACAACCUGCUGGACAUGCCGGGACUACCCACCGGACAUACCAGAACCAUCCACUGGAAACGCCUGAACCACCUGCCUGAAACGCAGGACCAACUGCUGGACACUCUGGAACCACCUUCGGGACAGGCCUGGAAAACCUGCUGGACACGCCUGAACCCCUGCUUGACACGCUGGAAGCACCUGCUUGACUCACCAGAACCGCCUGCCAGAUAUGCCAGAACCAGGCUCCUUAUACACCGGAACCACCCACCAGUCAUGCCGGAACCACCUACAGGACACACUGGAACCACCACACAGACACGCUGGAACCACGCUCCACACAUGCCAGAAUCAGGUCCGGGACAGAGCACAAUUACCUGGCAGAUGCUCCAGGACCACCUGCUGGACACGUUGAAAUCACCCACAAGACAUGCCCAAACCAACUGUCCGACAUGCCAGAAGCACUCAGCACACACACUGGAUCCACCUUCUGAAUGUACAUGAACUACGUGCUAGACACACAGGAAUGACUUGCCAGGCACACCAGAACCACAUGUUGGUUACACCAGAACCAGGUGCUGGAUACACUGAAACUACCUUCUGAAAAUGCCAGAACCAGGUGCCAGACAAGCCAGAAACAUCUGCUGGACAUGUCCAAAUCACCUGUCAGAUACACCAAAGCCAUGUGCCGGACACGCCAAAACCACCUCCCAGACAAGCCGGAACCAUCUCCCAGAUAAACCAGAAACAGGUCCAGAACAGGCCAGAACCAGGUGCUGGACAUGCCUGAAGCAGCUGCGGGACAAGCCUGAAACACCUGCUGGAGAUGCCUGAACCACUUUAUGGACAUUCUGGAACCAUCUGCCUGCCAUGCCAGAACAACCUGCCGGACAGCCGAAAUCACGUGCAUAUGUGCCAUAACCGGGUCCCAGAUAUGCCUGAACCAACUUCAGGACAGGCCAGAAAAACAUGCCGGACAAGCCAGAACCACCUCUUGGAGACACUGAAACCACCAACUGGACACGGCAAAAUCAGGUCCCAGACAUGCCAUAGCCACCUGUCAGACAGGCUGGAAUCACCCACUGGACAUGCAGGAACCAACUGCCAGACACCCGGAAGCACCCAAUGGACACAUGGGAACCACCUUCCAGACAUACCAGUAACUCAUGCCAGACACACAGGAACCUCCUGCCUUGCAUGCUGGAACCACCUAAAUGACAAGCCGGUAACACCCGCCGGAUAUGCCGGAACAACCUGCCAGACAAGACUGAACCACCUGCUGGAUACGCCUGAAUCAUUUGACGGACACUCUGGAACCACAUGCCGGGCACACCGGAACCACCUGACAGAUAUGCCAAAACCAGGUGCCAGACACUCCAGAACCACCUUCCAGACAGGCCUGAACCAUCUUCUGGACAUGCCUAAACCACCUGCUGGACACACCAGAACCAACUGUCUGACUCACCAGAACCACUUGCUUGACUCCCCAGAGCCACCUGCCGGACAAGCUGAAGUCACUUGCUGGAACCAAGCUUGUCUGCCAGAACCACCCACCACAGGUACCAGAACCACCUGCCAGACACACUGGAACCACCACUAAGACACACCGGAAUCACAUGCCGGAAUCAGGGAGGGGACAUGGCACAGCCUCCUGCCAGAUGGUCCGGAACCACCUGCUGGACAUGCCUGAACCACCUGCCAGACUUGUGAGAAGCACCUGCCAGACAAGCCAGAACCACCAGCCUAACAUGCCAGAACAACCUGCUGGACACGCCAAAAUCACCUGUAGUUCCGGCGUGUCCAGCACGUGGUUCUGGCAUAUCUGAGAGGUGGUUCCGGCAUGCCGGGCAUGUGAUUUCAGAGUGUCCGUGAAGUGGUUCUGGCGUAUCUGGCAGGUGAUUUCGGUGCUCCGUCGUGUCUGGGACCUGGUUUUGGCAUGUGCGACACCUGUUUCUGGUGUAUCCAGGAGGUGGUUCUCACAAGAUUGGCAGGUGGUUCAGGCUGGUCUAGCAGGUGAUUCAGGUGUGUGUGGCAGCUGUUUCAGGCGUGUCCGGCACCUGGUUCUGGCCUGUGCCAGACCUGUUUCUGGUGUAUCCAUCACAUGGUUUAGGAGUGUCCAGCACAUGGUUCUGGCAUAUUCGGCAGUUGGCUUCAGUAUCCUGGGCGCCUGGUUCUGGCGUAUCUGACAGUGGUUCCGUGGUGUCUGGCAGUUGGUUCCCGUGUGUCUUGUGUGUGUGUUUCCAGUACAUUCUUAAGGUGGUUCCUGCGUGUCUGGCUGGUGGCUACUGUGUAUCCGGGACCUGAUUCCGGCGUGUCCAGUUGGUGCUUUCAGAGUGUCCCGGUGUUUGUUCUGACGUGUCUGGCAGUUGGUUCCCACAUGUCCGGUGGGUGAUUCUGGCAUGUCUGGCAGGUUGUUCUGGCCUUUGACAGAAAUUGGUUCUGGCAUAUCCAGGACCUGGUUCUGGUGUAUCCGGCAGGUGAUUUUGGUGUGUCUGGCAGGUGGUUCCGGUGAGUCAAGCAGGUGGUUCUGGCGUGUUCGGCAGGUGGUUCAGGCGUGCGCAGCAGGUGGUUCAGGUCUGUCCGGGAAGUGGUUCCGACAUGUCUGGCACAUGGUUCUGGCUUAUUUGGCAGGUGGCUUCAGCGUACCACGUGCCUGGUUCCGGCGUAUCUGACAGUUGGUUCCAUGGGGUCUGGCAUGUGUUUCUGGUACAUUCUUAAGGUGGUUCCUGCAUGUCCAGCAGAUGCUUCAGUCUUGUCUGGCAGUUGGAUCAGUCAUGUGGGACACCUGGUUCUGGCGUGGGCUGUGCCUGUUUCUGGCGUAUCUGGCAGGUGGCGCUGGCGUGUCCGGCAGGUGGUUCCAUUAUGUCUGGCACAUGGUUCCCGGGUAUCAUGCAGGUGAUUUUGACGUGUCCUGUGGGUUGUCCCAGCAUCUCCGACACCUGGUUCUGGCAUGUCCAGGAGGUAGUUUCAGCGAAUCAGGCACCUGGUUCCAGGGUAUCCAACAGGUGGUCCUGGCAUGUCUGGUAGGUGAUUCUGGUGUGUGUGGCACAUGGUUGCGGUGUAUCUGGCAGGUGAUUUCGACGCGUCCAGCAGGUGUUUCCAGCAUAUCUGGCACAUGGUUCUGUCAUGUCUUGCAGGUUUUUCAUUCAUUACCUGCACCUGAUUUUGGCAUGUGCAAUACCUGUUUCUGGAUUAUACUUCAGGUAGUCCCAGUGUGCCCAGCAGGUGGUUCUUGCAAGUCUGGCAUGUGGCUCAGGCAUGUCCAGCAGGUGGUUCUGGUGUCUUGGACACCUGGUUCCAGCAUUUCUGGCAGGUGGUUCUGGACCAUUCAGCAGGAGGUUGCACCAUGUCCCCUACCUGAUUGCGACGUGUGUUUUGUGUGGUUCUGGUGUGUCUCUGCAGUGCCUCCAGUGUGUCCUGCAGGUGGUUCCGGCACAUGUGGUCAGUUUUCCCGGCGUAGAAAGAGCUUGGUUCCAGCUGUCAGUCGAGUCUGGCUGUUGGUUGCAGCUUAUCCAGGGGUGGUUCUGGCAUCUCCAUAACGUGGUUCCAGUGUGUCCAGCAGGUGAUUCCGACAUGUCUUGUGGGUGGUUAUGGCACAUAACUCUAGGCCAGAUAUAAUUAAAUGAUACACUGGAUAUGCCAAACCACUUGUUGGAAACACCCAGACCACCUGCUGGACACCCCCAAAGCACUUCCCGGAGAGGAGCAAAUCAGAUGUCUGGCACACCCAAACCAUCUUUUGGGCACAUCAGAACCGUGUUUCAGAAAUGCCUGGAGAGGUUGGCCAUGCCAUGUGCCAUGCCAUGUGCCAGGUGCACCUGGACCAGCUGACUAACAGGCCUGAACAUCUUGCCAGACUUGCCAAACUACCCUCUGGCCAUACCGCAACCAUCCACCAGAA
ensembl:lncRNA